rnacentral:misc_RNA from 1 species
GUGAACGGUGCUGAGAACAUUCGGCAGAAAGUAUCUCCGAGUCCCGCCACGGAUGGCGGCGAUAGGAGUAACGGCUGGUUGGCACAGCCAUCGGUGUACCUGUUCGAUUUAGAGAGCGGAUGCUUCGCACCGCGAGAACAGGCUACGUCAUAAACCACAAUAUCCCAACGCGGGAAUCCUCGCCCUUCAGGGCGGGGAGGAUGUCAAGCCACGUGUUU